AUGAACGCUGGCGGCGUGCCUAAUACAUGCCAGUCGCGCGAACAGACGAGGAGCUUGCUCCUCUGACGUUAGCGGCGGACGGGUGAGUAACACGUGGAUAACCUACCUAUAAGACUGGGAUAACUUCGGGAAACCGGAGCUAAUACCGGAUAAUAUAUUGAACCGCAUGGUUCAAUAGUGAAAGACGGUUUUGCUGUCACUUAUAGAUGGAUCCGCGCCGCAUUAGCUAGUUGGUAAGGUAACGGCUUACCAAGGCAACGAUGCGUAGCCGACCUGAGAGGGUGAUCGGCCACACUGGAACUGAGACACGGUCCAGACUCCUACGGGAGGCAGCAGUAGGGAAUCUUCCGCAAUGGGCGAAAGCCUGACGGAGCAACGCCGCGUGAGUGAUGAAGGUCUACGGAUCGUAAAACUCUGUUAUUAGGGAAGAACAAAUGUGUAAGUAACUAUGCACGUCUUGACGGUACCUAAUCAGAAAGCCACGGCUAACUACGUG
rnacentral:rRNA from 1 species